AAGCCCUUUGAAUUCCUUGUAAUCGGUCGAUGUAGGACUCUUGAACAUUCCCCCUCAAGUAGCAACCAUUUUAGUUGAUACUUAAACCUUGAAAUCCUCCCCUUAAACUUUGAAUGUUGAUGUAGCGGCAACACCAGGAACCUUGGCACUUGAAUUGAACCGAGUCAGGCUUGCUCUGAUACCAUAUUACUAACUUGAAUUGAAU
rnacentral:misc_RNA from 1 species